UACGUAGGGGGGCAAGCGUUGUCCGGAAUUAUUGGGCGUAAAGAGCUCGUAGGCGGUUUGUCGCGUCGGCCGUGAAAACUUGGGGCUUAACCCCCAAGCUUGCGGUCGAUACGGGCAGACUUGAGUUCGGCAGGGGGAGACUGGAAUUCCUGGUGUAGCGGUGAAAUGCGCAGAUAUCGGGAGGAACACCUAUGGCGAAGGCAGCUCGCUGGGACGUUACUGACGCUGAGACGCGAAAGCGUGGGGAGCAAACAGG
rnacentral:rRNA from 1 species